rnacentral:rRNA from 1 species
AUUGAACGCUGGCGGCAGGCUUAACACAUGCAAGUCGAGCGGGGUGAUGGUGCUUGCACUAUCACUUAGCGGCGGACGGGUGAGUAAUGCUUAGGAAUCUGCCUAUUAGUGGGGGACAACAUCUCGAAAGGGAUGCUAAUACCGCAUACGUCCUACGGGAGAAAGCAGGGGAUCACUUGUGACCUUGCGCUAAUAGAUGAGCCUAAGUCGGAUUAGCUGGUUGGUGGGGUAAAGGCCUACCAAGGCGACGAUCUGUAGCGGGUCUGAGAGGAUGAUCCGCCACACUGGGACUGAGACACGGCCCAGACUCCUACGGGAGGCAGCAGUGGGGAAUAUUGGACAAUGGGGGGAACCCUGAUCCAGCCAUGCCGCGUGUGUGAAGAAGGCCUUAUGGUUGUAAGCACUUUAAGCGAGGAGGAGGCUCUUUUGGUUAAUACCCAGAAUGAGUGGACGUUACUCGCAGAAUAAGCACCGGCGAACUCUGUGCCAGCCGCCGCGGUAA